GCCGAAGUGGUGGAACUGGUAGACACGCUAUCUUGAGGGGGUAGUGGCCGUAUGGCCGUGCGGGUUCGAGUCCCGCCUUCGGCA
rnacentral:tRNA from 1 species